rnacentral:lncRNA from 1 species
GAGAGAGAGAAUUGUUAAUUUUUUGGUUUGUGAAGAGAGAAACAAUUAUUUAAUCAUCUUUUGUUUAUUUAUUUAUUUUUUUCAGUCAAAAACCCUUUUUCACUUCAGUCUGUUUUCUAAAAAAAAAAAAAAGGUUGAACCCCAAUCUUAAGCGUCCCCACCGACCCUGUCUUGGGUCAUCGUGGAGGAGGUAAAUCGCAGGAUGUGCCUCCCAGGAGCUAGGGUGGAGAGCACAUGGAUAGGCCAAGGUUGUUAACCCAUAUGGUAACUCCUACUUGCAACAAAGCCAAUUUCACCUUGCGGGGAAUCGAACUCAGCACACUGCCGCGCUGAACCCUGUCCGCCCACCUUUGCCACUGGGAGAUAUGGCCUGCGGCCGUCAGUCUGUUUUCUAACCUAUUCGUGAGCCUGUCUGAGUAGCAAAAUUGUCCAAUUCACGCUCUCUGUCUAGAAUUAGAAUCAGUCGGAUCGGAAAUCGGAAAAAAUGUCAGAAGGAUGCGUAUUUCUUUGCGAAAUCAUACUCGCUAUUCUCCUCCCUCCACUCGGAGUUUGCCUCCGACACGGCUGCUGCUCUGUAAGCUCCUUUCGUAGAUAUAUUCUCCUUUAAUGAUUGUGUUGCUAAGUGUGUGUAUUUUGUUUUUAUAGGUGGAGUUUUUCAUAUAAUUAUUUAAUCAUCUUUUGUUUAUUUAUUUAUUUUUUUCAGUCAAAAACCCUUUUUCACUUCAGUCUGUUUUCUAAAAAAAAAAAAAAGGUUGAACCCCAAUCUUAAGCGUCCCCACCGACCCUGUCUUGGGUCAUCGUGGAGGAGGUAAAUCGCAGGAUGUGCCUCCCAGGAGCUAGGGUGGAGAGCACAUGGAUAGGCCAAGGUUGUUAACCCAUAUGGUAACUCCUACUUGCAACAAAGCCAAUUUCACCUUGCGGGGAAUCGAACUCAGCACACUGCCGCGCUGAACCCUGUCCGCCCACCUUUGCCACUGGGAGAUAUGGCCUGCGGCCGUCAGUCUGUUUUCUAACCUAUUCGUGAGCCUGUCUGAGUAGCAAAAUUGUCCAAUUCACGCUCUCUGUCUAGAAUUAGAAUCAGUCGGAUCGGAAAUCGGAAAAAAUGUCAGAAGGAUGCGUAUUUCUUUGCGAAAUCAUACUCGCUAUUCUCCUCCCUCCACUCGGAGUUUGCCUCCGACACGGCUGCUGCUCUGUAAGCUCCUUUCGUAGAUAUAUUCUCCUUUAAUGAUUGUGUUGCUAAGUGUGUGUAUUUUGUUUUUAUAGGUGGAGUUUUUCAUAUGUUUGGUGUUGACUAUUCUAGGCUACGUUCCUGGGAUAAUUUAUGCUCUCUAUGCUAUCGUUUUUGUCGAUCGCGAUCGGUUCGCUGACGAUGACUAUCAACUUGCUUAGUACUUGAUUCACUACUGGUCUCGAUUUCCUCAUUUAUUUGUGGCGGUGUGUAGUUUUUACUGUGUGAUUAAUCUCAAAACUGUGGUUUAUCUGUUCUUGUUGACUCUGCAAUUUUUACUGUUUUAAUAAAAGUGGUUUAUACUUCCUUUUAUCUUUAUCUGUUCUUAUCGACUCUGCAAUUAUAACUUUUUUUAGAUUUGAAUUUUAUUAUAAUUGCCAGUU